UCGAACAGAGAGAGAGGGGCGACCAGGAGAAAUUCCAAACCCUAAAAUCUCAAUAAUCUUGCAAAUUGAAGGAUUAAUCCAAGUAGAAAUCGAGAAUUGAGCCUAGAAUCAUAAUCCUCAUCACAAGAGGAUUGUAAGGACAAGAUACCGGGACGUCGAGCGGACAAGCCGGUGGUGAUUCUCGUUUGAAGGGCGUGCGCCAAGGACAAGAUACCGGGACGUCGAGCGGACAAGCCGG